CUUCAGGGAGCCCAGCCACAGCGGGUGUUCGGGGUCGCGGCCCCGCCCGUACGUGGCCAGCAGGGCCUGCGCCUC
rnacentral:antisense_RNA from 2 species